UAUUGCACAAUGGGCGCAAGCCUGAUGCAGCCAUGCCGCGUGUGUGAAGAAGGCCUUCGGGUCGUAAAGCACUUUCAGUCAGGAGGAAAGGUUAGUAGUUAAUACCUGCUAGCUGUGACGUUACUGACAGAAGAAGCACCGGCUAACUCCGUGCCAGCAGCCGCGGUAAUACGGAGGGUGCGAGCGUUAAUCGGAAUUACUGGGCGUAAAGCGUACGCAGGCGGUUUGUUAAGCGAGAUGUGAAAGCCCCGGGCUCAACCUGGGAACUGCAUUUCGAACUGGCAAACUAGAGUGUGAUAGAGGGUGGUAGAAUUUCAGGUGUAGCGGUGAAAUGCGUAGAGAUCUGAAGGAAUACCGAUGGCGAAGGCAGCCACCUGGGUCAACACUGACGCUCAUUACAAGC
rnacentral:rRNA from 1 species